rnacentral:rRNA from 1 species
GACAGAGGGUGCAAACGUUGUUCGGAAUUACUGGGCGUAAAGCGCGUGUAGGCGGCUAAGUAAGUCGGGCGUGAAAUCCCACGGCUCAACCGUGGAAGUGCACUCGAAACUGCAUAGCUAGAGUCCUGGAGAGGAAGGUGGAAUGCUUGGUGUAGAGGUGAAAUUCGUAGAUAUCAGGAGGAACACCAGUGGCGAAGGCGGCUUUCUGGACGGUAACUGACGCUGAGACGCGAAAGCGUGGGGAGCGAACAGG